rnacentral:rRNA from 1 species
UGCCAGCAGCCGCGGUAAUACGAACCGUACGAACGUUAUUCGGAAUCACUGGGCUUAAAGAGUGCGUAGGCGGCUUUGCAAGUUGGGUGUGAAAGCCCUCGGCUCAACCGAGGAAUUGCGCUCAAAACUGCAGGGCUUGAGUGAGAUAGAGGAGAGCGGAACUGAUGGUGGAGCGGUGAAAUGCGUUGAUAUCAUCAGGAACACCAGUGGCGAAAGCGGCUCUCUGGAUCUCUACUGACGCUGAGGCACGAAAGCGUGGGGAGCAAACAGGAUUAGAUA